rnacentral:lncRNA from 1 species
ACAUAGCUCGUGAAGCUCGCACGUCCUCACCCUGGUGUCCGCAUCCCUGCUAUAUAUACGCACGCCCGCGCGUCUCAGUUCCAACACCACCAUCACGAACAACUAAUCAACCGCGCAACAAGUUAAGGAAGAAGAAGAUAGCAGCAGCUGCUGCUAUGGCCGGCCAGCAAAGCACGAGGAUGGUGGCAAUGCUCCUUGCCGCCCUCGUGGUGGCAGCGGCGUCCCUGCCCGCGGCCACCGCCUACGGCUGCUAUGACGACUGCUACGAGCGGUGCGCCAACGGCAAGGACGACCCCGUCUGCACCAAGAUGUGCAACCAGGCGUGCGGCCCCGACGACCAGGGUGGCGCCGCCGCCGCGCCCACGGCUUGAUCAUCAUCGUAUCUGCUGCCGCCUGCAUGCGUCCACACCAUCUAUUUAGGGCCUGUUUGGCUCCAUGGUGUUAAAGUUUAACACCCGUCACAUCGAAUGUUUGGAUGCUAAUUAGGAGUAUUAAACAUAGACUAAUUACAAAACUAAUUGCACAGAUGGAGUGUAAUUCGUGAGACGAAUCUAUUAAGCCUAAUUAGUCCAUGAUUUGACAAUGUGGUGCUACAGUAACCAUUUGCUAAUGAUGGAUUAAUUAGGCUUAAUAGAUUCGUCACGCGAAUUAGCACAGGGUUCUGCAAUUAGUUUUAUAAUUAGCUCAUGUUUAGUUCUCCUAAUUAGCAUCCGAACAUCCGAUGUGACACUGUUAAAGUUUAGCACCUCGUAUCCAAACACCCCCUUAGGAUAUGAUUCGUCGUCGCCCGACAAUGCCCUGUUAUUAUUACUAGUUUCCUUAUUCAUGGAUCCUGUUGCCGUUCCUUUCUCGAUCCCAGUGUUGAUUUCCUAUUUUUCUUCUUAGGGGGUGUUUGGAUUCUGGAGCUAAAGUUUAGUUCGUGUCACAUCAAAUAUUCGAAGGCUAAUUAGGAGGACUAAAUAUGAGUUAAUUAUAAAACUAAUUACACAGAUGGAUGCUAAACGGCGAGACGAAUCUAUUAAGCCUAAUUAAUCCAUCAUUAGCAAAUGGUUACUGUAGCAGCACAUUAUCAAAUCAUGGACUAAUUAGGCUUAAUAGAUUCGUCUCGCCGUUUAGCCUCCAUCUAUGCAAUGGGUUUUGUAAAUAAUAUAUGUUUAAUACUCCUAAUUAGUAUCUAAACAUUCGAUAUGACAAGGACUAAAGUUUAACCUGUGGAUCCAAACACUCAUUCAUGUGUUCCCAUCCAUCCAUCAGCUGUUUUGUAACUCGUGCAAUUUGCCAGUGAAUACAUACUUUCUACAUG